UACGUAGGGCGCAAGCGUUGUCCGGAAUUAUUGGGCGUAAAGAGCUCGUAGGCGGUUUGUCGCGUCUGCUGUGAAAACUCAGGGCUUAACCCUGAGCUUGCAGUGGGUACGGGCAGACUAGAGUGCGGUAGGGGAGACUGGAAUUCCUGGUGUAGCGGUGAAAUGCGCAGAUAUCAGGAGGAACACCGGUGGCGAAGGCGGGUCUCUGGGCCGUAACUGACGCUGAGAAGCGAAAGCAUGGGGAGCGAACAGG
rnacentral:rRNA from 1 species